CCGGCCGGGACACCGGGACUGCCGUGCCAGCCCUGGCACCCUGAAUCCCGCCGCUCCCAUCCCGCGGUACCGCCUGCACCCCGCGGGUGUGCGGAGCCCCCGCAGCCCCCAGCGGAGAGCAGCGCCGGGCUCCCGUUCCCCGGGUCCGCACAGCCGCGGGGCUCCUGCCCACCGCACCCCUGUGGGACGAGCGGGGCUGGAGCACGGCAGGAGCCGCUCGGCUGGGCACGGUUCCACUCGGGCUGCUUCUUCAGCACCGCCGGAUCACAGGAUCUAUUGGGGUCCAAUCGACCAAACCAAUCUCUGGGUCACAAGUAUGCACCUCGCAAGGAGGAGAAUCCCGAGCACCAGCAAAGGAACUGCAGCUCCUUCUUUUCUGCUGAAGCUGCUUUACACACCAGCCCCUGCUAUGGCUGUAAGGUAGAACUGGCUGGCAGCCAACACAACAGCACCAAACUCUUCCCAUAACCCUGAUUUUCCUGCCCUUUCCAGGAAUUACUCAGCAGCUGUUAAUGUACUCUUGCAAUGUCUUUUUUCAGGGAGACAUGAGUAGGACAAGUCCUGAGGCUGUCCUUGCUGCAUGACCAAAAUUCUCCUGGAGAGUGGCAGGGGGCAUUUCCUGCAGGUGAGUGUUGCUAAAAUGAUGGUAGCUGCUGAAGCUGGGGCUGCUUUUGUGGCCCAGAGCUGCACAAAGGCUUCUCAGUGUCCCCUGCUCACUGCCAGCAACGUUCCUUGGUGUUAGUUGUCUCAGCUGGCAGGGAAUGUGGGGUAGGAGGAGGCCGGGAGCCCCUGGAAGGCAACCAGCACCUCUUGUCCUUGGGCUCUGCGGUGUCCUGCCUGUGCCAAACACACCCCAGGGAUGGGCGCUGGGGUGCCCGGGCAGCGCUGGCACGGACACAGCUCAACGGCUGCCUGCGGCUGCUGGGCCAGGGGCUGCUCUGAACAGGCACUUGGAGAUGCUUCAGCCUGGACAGAAGCCAGGGACACCCUAAGAACACCCCAAAGAACAGCUGGAAUUCCCUGGUGAUGGCAGCACAGGCUGCCUGCAGAGGGUCUCAGGCAGCAAUUCCUGGUUCUGACUUUCCAGAGCUCCCACACAGCUGCCAGGUAUGUCCUGGCCACCCCAAAUCCCUUCCCUUCCAGCCUGAGGCCAUCACCCAGCAGCAGCAUUAAAGCCAAGGCAAUCUUCUGUUAGAGAUACUAAAUCCCAAGCAGCAGCCUGCAGAGAUGACCGAAAAUCAAAGGUGUGGGUGGGAUGAAGUUUUGUUUGGGUGAAGGUGGGAGUUUUCCAGGGAGCCAGCUGGAAGUGCAGAAGGGAUGGAAAGCUUUUGCAGGUGGGUCCCACUGGGGGUGUGCUGAAGGCAGAGAUGUGCACCCCUUUCCUGAGGUCACUGCUGAGGCCCUGAAAGGAACUGAACUUCUGCAGGGAGAGAUGUCCUCCUAUGUGCACGGGGCUGCCCUGGAAUGGGCCGGGAGCGCCUCCACCCCUGCCUUCUCCUGCUUGAAAACAUCACCUGGAGCCCUUGCUCAGGGGGUUGAAUCAGCUGAAUUCCAGGCAACUCUGUCCAGGGCCCUCAGGCACAUGGGUGGCGCUGGGGGAUGUGGAUUUCAAACAAUAAACUCUUUGGAAUAUUCACCUGUCCCUGUCCGGAUGCUGCUGAGCUUCCUUGGAAUCUCUGCCCGUUCCUGGCACAGCUGGUGUUCAAGGGCAGCUCUGCAUGGGAAUAACCACAAUCCAUGCGGCACUGUGAGGUUAUGGCAGCAGGAAUGGAGCAGGGAAUUUGGGGCUAUGGGAUAAUUCAUGGGAAGUAGCAAAGCUGACAGGGAACCCCAAAUCUGGGCACUGCACAAAGAACAAUCUUUGUGCUGCCCUGUCAGCUCAAGCCCCUGGGCUGCGAAGUUUUGGGAGUCAAAGGUAUGGAAUUACACAAAUCACAGCAAUUGAGCUGUGAUACCCAGAGGGACAAUCCAAGUCCCAAACAAUUCCUCCACAAUUCACUCUGGGGGAAAACACCCUGUGCCUGCCAGGAGCUCUGACUCUGCUUUUCCUACCAGCUCCUGAGCAGUGUCAGGGCCACCAUGAGAGCUUUAAAAUCCAGAUAAACCCCAAAUCCCACACACUGAUAAAA